UACGUAGGGGGCAAGCGUUGUCCGGAUUUAUUGGGCGUAAAGAGCGUGUAGGCGCCAGGGUAGGUGGGUUGUGAAAAACUGGAGGCUCAACCUUCAGACGUCGACCCAAACCCCCUGGCUAGAGUCCGGAAGAGGAGAGUGGAAUUCCUGGUGGUGAGCGGUGAAAUGCGCAGAUAUCAGGAAGAACACCCGUGGCGAAGGCGGCUCUCUGGGACGGUACUGACGCUGAGACGCGAAAGCUAGGGGAGCAAACGGG
rnacentral:rRNA from 1 species